rnacentral:lncRNA from 1 species
GGAGACUGGCUGUUGUCACAUCAUGUCCCCGUUGCUGUCUCCUUUCUCCUGGAGCUCUGAUGGGCAACAUGGCCCAGCUCAGUGCAGCUGGAGGAGGAUUUAAUUCAGAUCUUGCAAGUGCGUCACUGAUGGAAUGGACUGCCCAGCCCUAGAGACAUCUUUCUAAAUUAGAUAUCUGGUCAUAUUUUCCCACCAGAAAAUACCCAGAGCAUCUCCAGCACCUUCAGGAUGGAGGAAGACCGUGUGGAAUGGUAGGAAUGGGCCUUUAGAAUAGUAUGACUUAGCCUGGCCUGCCUCUCUUCGCAGUGACAAGCCCGACAGGACCUCUGCAUGGCUGCUAAUGCUUGAGCACUCUCUGUCCCACCCAAGAAGGGACAAAGACAGCAUGACACAGAAUGCCUUCCCAGACAGCAAGUCGGCAAU